GUGCCGGUACCACUGGGAACUUCCCACCCAAUUACUGAUCUAGUUGCGAAGGUUUUAUGGUAUUCAGGCACACAAUCGUGUAAACCUUUCAGGUGAGAGUUUGUCAUUGCUGACAUCACAGCGCAGUUAAGUAACACUCACCCUAGAUUAAAAGUGUUUGCAGAAAGAGUCCCCUGCAAGAAGACAUGACAGGGAAGUUAGCUGUGAUACUUAGGUAAAGUGCAGAAAAGAGGCCUUACUGUCCUCGCCUCUCUGAUGUGAUAAAAGGUUCCUUUGUGUCAAUAACUCUACAUGUCUUUACAAUCAACUUCUUUAAUGGCUUGUGACUGAUGCCAGUGGAUAAGAAUAUAGAUACAAUGAAAUAAGGUUAUAUCCAUUUGAAAUUCAGUGAAGUGUGGCAUCGUUACACAUUGUAAGUUUUCCCUCUGCUCGUUUCUCCUAGGGCAUCACCCUGAAAACGAACGACCUCGACCACCGACGAGAAUAGCUCUCACGUUCUGUCGGGACUGCAUAGGGGGCGGCUGGCAAAUUUUUGGAUAUGCAGUUUGUGUGUGGUUACAAUAAAAGAAAUGACCGGGUGAAAA